UCUUAAUACAAGAGUUAAUAAUUUCAUAGUUUUGGAGCACUAACUUGACACAAAAGGAAGGUACAAAUUACAACCAAAAGGCAGGUUCAGAAGGUUCAACAAAAGUAACCUGCUAUCAAGCUAUAAGCCUGAAAAGGAUAAAUAAUGAGAGGGUGAGUUCAACAACUCAGUGAGUAGAUAACGUUCAAUAUACACACACGAGGUAAUAUAACAAUGAGAAAUAUAUAUACAAGUAUGGCUUUAGUUCUUAUACGAAGGUUUAUCAAAAUAGGCCAUAACAAGAAUAUCAUAUGGUAAAACUCGUCAGAAAAUCAAAAUGCAAUGAGCAUGAGGCUCCGUACUGUGGGAUGAUCAGUCCACACAGGUUGGUGACUCCCCCGACCAACUAGGGUUCAGAUACGAUGUGCACAAAGACUAACACUACCCUGUUAGCAUGGGUAUUCUGACUGACAUACCAUAGGUUCAUAAUCAUAAUCAAACAAACAUAUUCAUAUCUCAAAGCUCAACUCAUGACAUCCAUCAAAUGAGGAGCUAUCAAUUCAGAAGUCAAAUCAUAUUGGUUCAUAUCAAGAAAUCAGAUUCAAUAAUUGAUCAUGCUUUAUCAUAUCAAGGAUAAUAAUCAGCAUAUAUAUUAUCAAGAAGCAUGAUCCAAUUCAUAUUAACAAAUCAAAUAUUUAUAAUAUUUCUCAUGCAUAUGGAAAAUUAUCCACUCACCUGACUCAAAAGCAAACAGCACACACAAGCUGAAACCGAAGGAAAUUCUACUGACGUCCUGCCGGUAGAAUAUCAGGAUUAUCUGAAUACAAAGGAGACAUAUUCAAAAACGACUCGAAAGAACAUUUAAUCUAUUUAAUACACUUAACUAAGGGUGUAUUCCGUAACCCUAUAUAUUAUAGUCAAUUUUCUUAAAAACCCAAAAUCUAACGGUUUUCCCGAAAUCUAAUCCAUAAUAAAAACAACUAAUAAAAUUGGUAAUAAUUCACUAAAUAACCCUUAAUUAUUCAUCAAACUAAUCUGAAAAAGCUAAUAUUACAGCUAGGGACUAAUCUGGAAUUUUUCCAUAUUUUUAGGGCCAAAUUGUAACUUUUGUCAAAUGGAGGACCAAACUGAAAUUUGUCAUAAAUCCAUGAAUAUACUGAAAUUCUGACCUUAAUUAAUCCUCAAUUCUGUCCAGGAUGUAUCAUUAUGCUUCAGGGAUCAUUCUGGAAUUUUACUAAAUUUUUAGGGUCAAAUCGUACUUUUUGUCAAAUUGGAGGACUAAAUUGAAAGUGUUAAAUUAUCUUAUCUAUACAGUAAUUAUGUCCAUAAUUCAUAUGUUAUUCUGUUCAGAAUCUCGGAAUAUGCUCCAGGGACCAAUUUGUAAUUUUCCAAAGUUCGGGGACUAAACUGAAAUUUUCGGAAAUUGAGGGACCAAAUUGAAUUUUCGUCAUCUUCAACCUCCAGUCCAGAUUUUAACAGAAACCCCACUGUUCUCCCCUGAUUUCUAACUCAAUUUUCACCAUUUACACAAUUCUAUAACUCAAAAUCAUCAUAAUCUUCCAUAAUCAACUAAAUCAUCAAUUAAACACAACAAUCAACCCCUAACCUUCAAUUUAAUUCAUCAAUUUAAAUCAAACACAAAUUCUCAAAACCCUAACAUUCAUAAAAACUGAAAUUAAAGCUUAAUUAACAUAUUAUACACAUUAAACAACCUAAAUCUUACCUUUUUCACUUAUUUCCUCCAAAACUCUUCCUUUUUCCCUUAUUUUCCCUUCUUUUCUCUUCUUCUUCUUUCUCUCUUCUCUCUCACGGUUCUGCUCUCUAAUUUCAGAUCACUUU
rnacentral:lncRNA from 1 species